AACAAGACAAGUGAUCUAGGCGUGGUCGGAGUUAUAGUAUAUAAAUCAGAGCAUUUGUUCGAUGGAUAUCACUUGUGAAAACUCUUCCAAGCGUACCUAACUAUUUACCUACGAGUACAAUGCUGUUCAGGCUGUUUGCUUUAAUCGCCCUGGUGGCCGUGGCUUUCGCCAGCCCGAAACCCGAGCCUCAAGUGGUCGCUUACACCGCCGGCGCGUACCCAGCUGCCUACCCUUACUAUUCCGCGGGAGUGUACUCCCCAUACACCGCCGCUGCUUAUCCAUACGCCUACAAUGGAUACUACUUUCGUUAAUACCUAAAACGCCUGAUAACUG